AAAGCUGCUCUGAAAAUGGAGUUCUACGGCUUGUUCUUCCUCCAAGCCGUGCCCUUAAUUUGCCUCGGAGGUUCUGCUUGCUCACGGUGAUGCUCCCCUUGCUGCUCAGAUUUCUUUGUAUUUUCACCAGUGCUGCUUUUGGAGUCUGGAUCACAGAAAAGAUGAGCUGUGCUGCUUUGGGCCUGGAAAAGAUGUCUGCUUGGUUUUACUCUUGGCAAUGUGGUUGGGAUGUAUCUGGCUCAGAACUAUGAUAUUCCUAACAUUGCAAAGAAGCUGGAAGAUUUUAAGAAGGAUGUGGAAGCCAAGAAGAAACCUCCUAAUGACAAGUCCUGAAAGAGCAACGUUCCCCAGGUCAACUCUGUGUGUGUACCAAGGAUGCAAUUUAUCUUUCAGGCAGCAAAGGUCAAGUAGAGGGUUGGCAUGGGAGGUUCCUCCACUCUUAGUCUCCUAGAACUGGAAUAUCUUUCUUUUGAAAGGGUGGCCGUGAACUUUUCCUGGGACUGAUUUUCAGUAUUUGGAUUUGCAACUGAUGCGUGACUGAUGAUACGAUUUGUAUUUUUCAGUGUUUCUUUUCCUAAUAUUUUGUAACUUGUUUUUACCUGAUCCAACUGGAGUGCUUUUGAUCCUGUUACAAUUGUAACCUCACACUUGAUAAUACCCUAGCUCCUAGAACAGCACAAAAGAAAUUAAAUGCAUCGAGAAGUAACUUUCAGAGUUGCUUGUCAUUCAUUGUGAGCAGUGGUACUUCACUGUCCUUAAGCCAUACACACAAGCAAAGCAAAAAAAGCAGCCAUUAAAACUCCUGGUGUGUGAGAAAACAUACAUCCAUUGUAAAACUCAUGUCUUCUCUUGAAACCAUACUUCUGCAAAAAUCCUGUUGUAAAUUCUGAAAAAAAAAUUGCAAAGAUUUGAAUGGAUGUCAAUUUUAUUAAGUCAAGAAUCUAUCAAAUAAUUUUCUUCCCUUAAAAUGGAAGAGGUCUAUCAACUCUGUAACAUGGCUUAAAUGACAGAAUCCUCUUCACAGUUUUUUGCAGGACAUGAAGAACACAGAAAAGUGCCAGGAUUGUGUUCUUGCUCUUAUUGAGAAUGCCUGGUGAUGAACUACUACAGACAAGUACAGAGAAUGACCCCCAUUUGUUCAGGCUCUAGAUUAAAGCAUGCCUAGAGUAAUUCUCCAUUAAUGUUUUAAUUAGGAUGAGGAUUGUGCCUUGAAAGUGGUUUGUCCUUUUACUAUGUUUUCAUUCUCAUCAUAGGAAAACUGUAGAGCACAUGGUCUGUAUUCCUCUCAGAAAAGACUAAAUCAGAAGAUAUGCUUUGAUCUCUAAUAGGUGUUUAGUCCAUUAGAAAAGUCUAGGGGCACUCAGAAGGAAAAAAAACCCAAGCUCUGGGCACUAAUUGUCUUGCUUUGUCAGUGAAAUGCACUGUUUGAUAUAAACAUAGCGUCAGAGUACAGAACUGUCUAUGUACCCAUUGUAAUUUUCACCUGCUACCCCAAAGCCUUUAAUUUGUAUAAAACUGAGUGGACUCCAAGUGCAGAGUUCUCACUGGAUCAGUAAAGACACAUUUACAGAGUACCAUACAUCAAACACUUGCACCCUUUGCCAGAGUUUGGAGGUGACAGAGUUCUUCCACACUGCAUUCCUGAAACAGAGGAAAGUAUUCCUCAUGCAAAGAUUCUCCUUCUUAAGCAAUAUAAAUAUAUAUAAGGAAUAUUUCACCUUUAAUUUUAAAUCCUUCCUUUCAUCUCUGGCCUGAAAUGUGUAGCUGACAUAAAAGUCUUUGCUAAGGGUUAUUUGUUAAGUUUAAAAACCAACUCAAGUCAGACAAUCUUAGUAGUGAUGCAACCAAUUUUCUCUACAGGAAACACUCCAAGAAACUCUGACAGGGAGAAAUUAUUAUGCCACCUAAACCCAGCUACCAGAAACCCUGUGGUAGCAGCAUGUGUGGAAGAUAGCCAGAGGGAUAGCCAUUAUCUUCAGACUUGACUGAAAGAAUUUUCUUCCAUGCCCAAAAACAUUUCCCUAGAAUGAUAGUGCUGCACAGCUGUUUUGAUGUUUUCAUGAACAUGAUGAAUUUAAGUUUCCCCCAACUUUCUCUUCCUCCCUUCCCUUUCCUAUUCUUGAGCAUUGAAAAGCACUGUCUCUAACCCAUUCAUUUUUCUUUGCUUGCCAUGUAAAAUUAUAUUAGUGUUUUAAAUAGGAUUAUUUCUUUGCUCAAACAUACUUUAUAUUCUUCCCUUUCUUUACAUGGGGAUGAGAAGUGAAAUAAUGUUCAAAAUCUCUGUAUUUAUUGCCAAACAGGCCAGUUACUC
ensembl:lncRNA